rnacentral:rRNA from 1 species
GAUGAACGCUAGCGGGAGGCCUAACACAUGCAAGCCGAGCGGUAUUGUUUCUUCGGAAAUGAGAGAGCGGCGUACGGGUGCGGAACACGUGUGCAACCUGCCUUUAUCUGGGGGAUAGCCUUUCGUAAGGAAGAUUAAUACUCCAUAAUAUAUUGAUUGGCAUCAAUCAAUAUUGAAAGCUCCGGCGGAUAGAGAUGGGCACGCGCAAGAUUAGCUAGUUGGUGAGGUAACGGCUCGCCAAGGCGAUGAUCUUUAGGGGGCCUGAGAGGGUGAUUCCCCACACUGGUACUGAGACACGGACCAGACUCCUACGGGAGGCAGCAGUGAGGAAUAUUGGUCAAUGGGUGCAAGCCUGAACCAGCCAUCCCGCGUGAAGGACGACUGCCCUAUGGGUUGUAAACUUCUUUUGUAUAGGGAUAAACCUACCCUCGUGAGGGUAGCUGAAGGUACUAUACGAAUAAGCACCGGCUAACUCCGUGCCAGCCGCCGCAGUAAAAC